UGGGGAAUAUUGGACAAUGGGCGCAAGCCUGAUCCAGCCAUGCCGCGUGUGUGAAGAAGGCCUUUUGGUUGUAAAGCACUUUAAGCGAGGAGGAGGCUUACCUGGUUAAUACCUGGGAUAAGUGGACGUUACUCGCAGAAUAAGCACCGGCUAACUCUGUGCCAGCAGCCGCGGUAAUACAGAGGGUGCGAGCGUUAAUCGGAAUUACUGGGCGUAAAGCGCGCGUAGGCGGUUUGUUAAGUCGGAUGUGAAAUCCCCGGGCUCAACCUGGGAAUUGCAUUCGAUACUGGCAAGCUAGAGUAUGGGAGAGGAAGGUAGAAUUCCAGGUGUAGCGGUGAAAUGCGUAGAGAUCUGGAGGAAUACCGAUGGCGAAGGCAGCCUUCUGGCCUAAUACUGACGCUGAGGUGCGAAAGCAUGGGGAGCAAACA
rnacentral:rRNA from 1 species